rnacentral:tRNA from 1 species
AGGGCAGUAGUUCAGUGUUAGAGCUCUGGCUUCAUAGGCUGGAAGACCUCGGUUCGAUUCCCGGCUGCUUAU